CGCAUACUCCCUCCGUUCUGAAUUAAUUGUCGCUUGUAUGGAUGUAUCUAGAUGUAUUUUAGUUCUAGAUACAUCUGUUUCUGCGACGAGUAAUUUGGAACGGAGGGAGUAGUUA
rfam:Triticum aestivum genome assembly, contig: Triticum_aestivum_CS42_TGACv1_scaffold_158274_2DL